CCUAGGGGUGGCAGCAGUGGGGAAUAUUGGGCAAUGGAGGAAACUCUGACCCAGCAACGCCGCGUGAAUGAUGAAGGUCUUCGGAUUGUAAAGUUCUUUUCUAAGGGAAGAAGAAAGUGACGGUACCUUAGGAAUAAGCCUCGGCUAACUACGUGCCACCAGCCGCGGUCAUACGUAGGAGGCAAGCGUUAUCCGGAAUGACUGGGCGUAAAGGGUGCGUAGGUGGUUUGAUAAGUUGGUAGCGUAACUCCGAGGCUCAACCUAGGCACUACUACCGAAACUGUCGGACUUGAGUGCAGGAGGGGCAACUGGAAUGCGUAGUGUAGCGGUGGAAUGCGUAGAUAGUAGGAGGAACACCAGGGGCGAAGGCGAGUUGCUGGACUGUAACUGACACUGAGGCACGAAAGCGUGGGGAGCAAACAGGAUUAGAUACCCCAGUAGUC
rnacentral:rRNA from 1 species